UACGAAGGGGGCUAGCGUUGCUCGGAAUCACUGGGCGUAAAGGGUGCGUAGGCGGGUCUUUAAGUCAGGGGUGAAAUCCUGGAGCUCAACCCCAGAACUGCCUUUGAUACUGGCGAUCUCGAGUCCGGGAGAGGUGAGUGGAACUGCGAGUGUAGAGGUGAAAUUCGUAGAUAUUCGCAAGAACACCAGUGGCGAAGGCGGCUCACUGGCCCGGUACUGACGCUGAGGUGCGAAAGCGUGGGGAGCAAACAGG
rnacentral:rRNA from 1 species